GCCAUUAGUCGCUCAUAUCUGCCCGACCCGCGUCAUGAUAUCGCGUAUAUUUAGUUGUUGCAGUUAAAAGCUCGUAGUUGGAUUUCGGGUGGGUUCUACCGCGGUCCGCUUCGGUGAGUACUGCUAUGGCCGGUUCCUUUCUUACGGGGGACGGGCUCCUGGGAUUAACUUCUCGGGAUCCGGAUUCCGUGAUGAUACUUUGAGUAAAUUGGAGUGUUCAAAGCAAGCCUGCGCUCUGAACAUUUUGAGCAUGGGCGCGCAAAUUACCCAAUCCUGGGGAGGUAGUGACAAUAAAGUAACAUUGGGCACAUCGUGUCAGCGUCAAUAUCACGAUAGGACUCUGGCCUAUCUUGUUGGUCUGUAGGACCAGAGUAAUGAUUAAGAGGGACAGUCGGGGGCAUUCGUAUUUCAUUGUCAGAGGUGAAAUUCUUGGAUUUAUGAAAGACGAACUACUGCGGGGCUCUGCCCGACAUCACCUGUAUCGCAUAGAAAGCAUAG
rnacentral:rRNA from 1 species